GUGGCAGUUCAAGGACCCAAUAGAAAGAAAGAAAGAGAUCGAUUGUUAAAGAUGAAGAACGUUAUAAAAGUUGUGUUUGUGCUUUCUAUCAUCAUGUGUGUCCUCCUUACACCAACCAUUGCUAGGGUGAGUGCGAGUCGUGGCAGUUCAAGGACCCCAGCAGUCCGUGCUGCUGGUCGCGCUAGCAACAACUCAUCAUCAACCACCCCAUUGUGCAUGUCUUCGAUAGCUAUGGCUCUCUUUGCCUACCUUUCAUUUGUUUACUUUUAAUUAUGUCUACACGUUAGGCCGGAGUUCAGAAUUUAGAUUUUAAAAUGUAUAUGUAAUUCUAUCGAUUUACCAUUGUUUUUAGUUAAACACAUAAAAGUUUGACCACGAGUCUGAUCGGGUUUUUACAGAACCAGUGAUUAGAUCUGAAACUGUUAUAUUUCUAUUUUUUUAAAAAAAUGCAUUUGUUGUUCUUUAUAUUACUGCAUGCAUGGAGUAC
rnacentral:misc_RNA from 1 species